rnacentral:rRNA from 1 species
GCUUUCUACAGGCUUAACACAUGCAAGUCGAGGGGCAGCAUGGUCUUAGCUUGCUAAGGCCGAUGGCGACCGGCGCACGGGUGAGUAACACGUAUCCAACCUGCCGUCUACUCUUGGACAGCCUUCUGAAAGGAAGAUUAAUACAAGAUGGCAUCAUGAGUCCACAUGUUCACAUGAUUAAAGGUAUUCCGGUAGACGAUGGGGAUGCGUUCCAUUAGAUAGUAGGCGGGGUAACGGCCCACCUAGUCUUCGAUGGAUAGGGGUUCUGAGAGGAAGGUCCCCCACAUUGGAACUGAGACACGGUCCAAACUCCUACGGGAGGCAGCAGUGAGGAAUAUUGGUCAAUGGGCGAGAGCCUGAACCAGCCAAGUAGCGUGAAGGAUGACUGCCCUAUGGGUUGUAAACUUCUUUUAUAAAGGAAUAAAGUCGGGUAUGCAUACCCGUUUGCAUGUACUUUAUGAAUAAGGAUCGGCUAACUCCGUGCCAGCAGCCGCGGUAAUACGGAGGAUCCGAGCGUUAUCCGGAUUUAUUGGGUUUAAAGGGAGCGUAGAUGGAUGUUUAAGUCAGUUGUGAAAGUUUGCGGCUCAACCGUAAAAUUGCAGUUGAUACUGGAUAUCUUGAGUGCAGUUGAGGCAGGCGGAAUUCGUGGUGUAGCGGUGAAAUGCUUAGAUAUCACGAAGAACUCCGAUUGCGAAGGCAGCCUGCUAAGCUGCAACUGACAUUGAGGCUCGAAAGUGUGGGUAUCAAACAGGAUUAGAUACCCUGGUAGUCCACACGGUAAACGAUGAAUACUCGCUGUUUGCGAUAUACAGCAAGCGGCCAAGCGAAAGCGUUAAGUAUUCCACCUGGGGAGUACGCCGGCAACGGUGAAACUCAAAGGAAUUGACGGGGGCCAGCACAAGCGGAGGAACAUGUGGUUUAAUUCGAUGAUACGCGAGGAACCUUACCCGGGCUUAAAUUGCAGAUGAAUUACGGUGAAAGCCGUAAGCCGCAAGGCAUCUGUGAAGGUGCUGCAUGGUUGUCGUCAGCUCGUGCCGUGAGGUGUCGGCUUAAGUGCCAUAACGAGCGCAACCCUUGUUGUCAGUUACUAACAGGUCAUGCUGAGGACUCUGACAAGACUGCCAUCGUAAGAUGUGAGGAAGGUGGGGAUGACGUCAAAUCAGCACGGCCCUUACGUCCGGGGCUACACACGUGUUACAAUGGGGGGUACAGAGGGCCGCUACCACGCGAGUGGAUGCCAAUCCCAAAAACCUCUCUCAGUUCGGACUGGAGUCUGCAACCCGACUCCACGAAGCUGGAUUCGCUAGUAAUCGCGCAUCAGCCACGGCGCGGUGAAUACGUUCCCGGGCCUUGUACACACCGCCCGUCAAGCCAUGGGAGCCGGGGGUACCUGAAGUGCGUAACCGCGAGGAGCGCCCUAGGGUAAAACUGGUGACUGGGGCU